AAGCAAAUUCAAAAAUCAAAAACCAAACCCUACAAAUCACUUCUCUCUCUCCUCAAUUUUACUUUUCUCUCUCCUCUCUCUCUUCUUCUCCUUUCUCUCACGCGAUUCUCUCAUUUCUCUCACGUCCAAUAACGGACCUCUGCCGUCCGGCCACCGAUAUGAACGCCGUUGCAGCCAAAAGAAGCGUCCGGCCACCAGGAGCAAUGCCCAGCCACCACUUGACGUCACCGGUUGUUGAUUUUGUCGGAAAUCCACCAUGAAGCCAUGGGUAUCCACCAAACAAAAUUCAUAGAUCCGGUUGAUUCCGAUGUCGAUUUGACAGCCCGACACCACCAAUGGACUCCCCUACGUGAGGAGCACUUAGCCCACCCCUUCGUCGACCGAAACGGCCACCGGAAUCGGAGACCCACGUCGAAGGUUGCAAUUUCUCCUGGUUUGCUCAUUCUUACCCUUUUGAAGUUGUUUGAAGGACUUGAUUAGUUUGAAGGUGUUGGUUCAGGUCAUGGGUAUAUAUACAGAGUUAAAUACACUUUGAAUUCGCAAUGUAAUUAUGAUUUUGGUGUAAAUUCAUUUUGAUUUACAUUGUUGCUGCCAGACAAGGUAAUUGAGUUGUUAUUUACAAUUAUAAAUGAGUUUGUCAA